rnacentral:rRNA from 1 species
ACUAAGACAUGCUAGUCGAGCGUCUUCAGGCUAUGUUGAGGACGCGGCGUACGGCUCAGUAACACGUGGCCAACCUACCCUUAGGACGGAGACAACCCCGGGAAACUGGGGCUAAUCCCCGAUAGGUGAGGAGGCCUGGAAUGGUCUCUCACCCAAAGGACGUUGAAGCCAUGCUUUUCAGCGUUGCCUAAGGAUGGAGCCGCGGCCGAUCAGGUUGUUGGUGAGGUAAUGGCUCACCAAGCCUAUAACCGGUACGGGCCAUGAGAGUGGGAGCCCGGAGAUGGGCACUGAGACAAGGGCCCAGGCCCUACGGGGCGCAGCAGUUGCGAAACCUCCACAAUGCACGAAAGUGCGAUGGGGCUAACCCGAGUGCCGUCCGCUGAGGAGGGCUUUUCUCCGCUGUAAGGAGGCGGAGGAAUAAGGAGAGGGCAAGACUGGUGUCAGCCGCCGCGGUAAUACCAGCUCUCCGAGUGGUAGGGACGAUUAUUGGGUCUAAAGCGUUCGUAGCCGGCUUGGCAAGUCUCUCGUUAAAUCCAGUGACCUAAUCGCUGGGCUGCGGGAGAUACUGUCAGGCUUGGGAGCGGAAGAGGUCGACGGUAUUCUCGGGGUAGGGG